GUGUUAGGGGGUUUCCGCCCCUUAGUGCUGCAGCUAACGCAUUAAGCACUCCGCCUGGGGAGUACGACCGCAAGGUUGAAAACUCAAAGGAAUUGACGGGGACCCGCACAAGCGGUGGAGCAUGUGGUUUAAUUCGAAGCAACGCGAAGAACCUUACCAAAUCUUGACAUCCUCUGACCCCUCUAGAGAUAGAGGUUUCCCCUUCGGGGGACAGAGUGACAGGUGGUGCAUGGUUGUCGUCAGCUCGUGUCGUGAGAUGUUGGGUUAAGUCCCGCAACGAGCGCAACCCUUAAGCUUAGUUGCCAUCAUUAAGUUGGGCACUCUAAGUUGACUGCCGGUGACAAACCGGAGGAAGGUGGGGAUGACGUCAAAUCAUCAUGCCCCUUAUGAUUUGGGCUACACACGUGCUACAAUGGACAAUACAAAGGGCAGCGAAACCGCGAGGUCAAGCAAAUCCCAUAAAGUUGUUCUCAGUUCGGAUUGUAGUCUGCAACUCGACUAUAUGAAGCUGGAAUCGCUAGUAAUCGUAGAUCAGCAUGAUACGGUGAAUACGUUCCCGGGUCUUGUACACACCGCCCGUCACACCACGAGAGUUUGUAACACCCGAAGCCGGUGGAGUAACCAUUUGGAGCUAGCCGU
rnacentral:rRNA from 1 species